AUAAUAUACUACACUUUCAGAAAAAUUAACUGUACGAUGGGAGCCAAAAUAGUUUGGCCACACCCACUUUUGCUAGCAGUUUGGCUAAGGCUGUUAAACCUCACCUCAUGCAGUUUGCAGAAUACGAUAGACCAUUGAUGGCAGCAGCACUCGAGCACAGCUCCUGCUGCUUCUCCCCUCUGUCGUCGGCGCCUGCUGCGGUUGCUGCUCCUCAUGAGCUGAUGCGCAAUUAAUAUGGCAAAUCAGGAGACGUCACCAAACGCAACCUGAGCCUGCCCACACACAUUUGGUCCUGAUUGUGUGUGUGCCAUUGGGGCACACAUAGAUAGAUACACACAUACACCUACACACACACAUACAUGCCUAACCCUAACCCGCCGCAGGUCAAGGUUGGCUUUAUGUUGCCCUCUGCAUAUGAGCGUUCCCCCGACCACGCCCCACCCACUUUUGUGGGGGUGACAGCCUUUUAUAUUUAUGGCCACUACGUGUUGUAAUGGGCGUGUUGCUUUCUGGUUUUCCAUUUUUUUAAGGGCCAAAGCGACAACAUAAAACAGUCGUCAAAUUUAUUAAGUGACAUUAUGCCAAGGCAAAAACAACAGAACCAUAAAAAAGGCAUUUGUCGGACACACACACAUACACACACACGCACUGUUGCAACAAAAAAGUUAGAGCUUAAUGGAAAGGGGAAAAUAGCAGCUGAAAGUCGGGAAAACGAAAAACUCAUUUCAAGUUAAUUAGACGAGCGCGGAAAAACAGAACAUGGUGCAAGAAACACAAGAGAAAAAAACUAGAGGAAAACCUCUGCAAAGUAUGUAGAAACAAAAUUUUUGUUAGCCUGGCCAACUGGCCAACCGAAAAAUGCGCGGAAAAAACCAAAAACAACAGGAGCGUAUGACUAUCUACAUUAGGCCGAAGCUGAAAUACUCUUGCCAAAUGAUAAAGUAAACCGAUUUGAUAUUUAUUUGGCAGACAGACGAAUAGAGCUACAAGGACUCAAGAAUUGAUACUGAUCAAGAACACAUUACACUUUAUGUGAGCUGUCUUUUUGGAAGCGUUGCACACGUCGUGAUAAACUAAUAAUACCCUCGACAAGGGCGUAGAAAGGAAACCUAAAAGGAAAACAAGGACUCAAGAGCAUAAUGAAAUUGUUGGCCAAACUGUUGAGGCUAUAAAUUAAAUAUUAAUUAAUUGGCCAGUCUGUCUGUUCGCGGCCAAAAAAUGCUGAAAGGGAAAAUAACUCGCUUCAAGGUUGCGCCGCUCUGUCAGAAGGCAACCGUGUAUUUUCUAAUUGCUCAUCAACCGUGUGAUUGUCAUGCCCCAUUCCCCAUGCCCCGUGCUCCAUGCCAGCCGUGCCACGCCCCGCGCUCAUUUAGUUGGCUAAUUGCAUUUUAUUUAAUUUGCCUGCCUUAUUGGCGACAAUUUGCUGCCAAUUCAAUUCGCUGUAACUUGGCAAAAUUUCAAUCACAUUGGCCUUCAAAACUUGACAUCCAAAAUGUGGCAAGCAAAAGUACCUGCCUGCCUGCCCCACCGAUCGACCGCACCACCAAGGCCCCCGUCAAAUGAAGUGCUGGACAUUUUUUACAUUCCUUGUGCUGGGCAACUGUUGCAGGAUUCUUGCUGGCUCUCUUUGUAACUCAGUUUGUCACUAAUUGCAUUGAAACAGUUUACAUAUUUAUUUACCCUCUUGUGGGUCAACCCUCAGCUUGAGAAUUCGAUUUGUCGCUAUGUUUUUCGCAUUCCCCCAUUUCGGCCUGUGACCCAAUCAAUCACCCCCAAACAUCGCUUUAUUGCAUUGUUUCAUUGGCUAUUAUCCACCGGACAGCUUGGAAAAAUGAACAGCAGUCCACUUAAAUAGCUUCAUGACAUUUAACUUUGAUCGAUUGCCGAGUAAAUACAUCUAACUAUAUUAUA